rnacentral:rRNA from 1 species
GAUUGAACGCUGGCGGCAUGCCUUACACAUGCAAGUCGAACGGUAACAGGUCUUCGGAUGCUGACGAGUGGCGAACGGGUGAGUAAUACAUCGGAACGUGCCCGAGAGUGGGGGAUAACGGAGCGAAAGCUUUGCUAAUACCGCAUACGAUCUACGGAUGAAAGCAGGGGACCGCAAGGCCUUGCGCUCAUGGAGCGGCCGAUGGCAGAUUAGGUAGUUGGUGGGAUAAAAGCUUACCAAGCCGACGAUCUGUAGCUGGUCUGAGAGGACGACCAGCCACACUGGGACUGAGACACGGCCCAGACUCCUACGGGAGGCAGCAGUGGGGAAUUUUGGACAAUGGGCGCAAGCCUGAUCCAGCCAUGCCGCGUGCAGGAUGAAGGCCUUCGGGUUGUAAACUGCUUUUGUACGGAACGAAAAGCCUCGGGCUAAUAUCCUGGGGUCAUGACGGUACCGUAAGAAUAAGCACCGGCUAACUACGU